AUGUACCUGAGCCCAUGUAACCUCUCGGCUGAGCCGUCGGAGAACCCCGUCGCUCUGCCGGAGUCGAUCCACCACGCUGUCUGCGAUGAGGAGGAAGGUAUCCAGGGGAUAGAGGAGGGGAGGAGGGAAGAGGAAGAGAUGGAGGAGAAUGUGAUGGAGGAGAUCGGGAAGGUGGGGAAGCGUAAGCGGAAGGAGGAGAAGGGGAAGAAGGAGAAGAAAAGGCACAAGGGCAAGGCAGGCGGGAUUCUGACAAACAAGCUCUUCUCAGAGCUCGCCAUCUCUGAGCUCACUGCCAAGGCCGUCAGAGAGAUGAACUACACCCACCUCACCCAGAUUCAAGCCAGAUCAAUACCGCACCUGGUGCUAGGGAGCGAUGUGCUGGGCUCAGCCAGGAUUGGCUCAGGGAAGACGCUUGCUUUCCUUAUACCCGCGGUCGAACUGCUACACAAGGCGCGCUUCGCACCGAGGAAUGGUACCGGAGUUGUUGUGGUUUGCCCGACAAGGGAGCUCGCUAUGCAGACGCACAAUGUCGCCAAGGAGCUAAUGAAGUAUCACUCGCAAACUCUUGGAUAUGUGAUUGGUGGCACUAACAUGAGAAGCGAGGCCAACCAGCUCGUCGAAGGGGUCAAUCUGUUAGUCGCGACGCCGGGUAGGCUUUUGGACCAUCUAAGAAGUACCAGUGGUUUCAAUUACAAAGGGCUACAAUGCCUUAUAAUCGAUGAAGCUGAUCGCAUACUUGAGCAGAAUUUUGAGGAGGACAUGAAACAAAUAUUCAAACGCCUCCCUCGGGACAGGCAAACUGUUCUCUUUUCUGCCACACAGACUAAAAGGGUUGAAGAUUUUGCAAAUCUUACGUUUGGGAAAAAUGAGGAAAGGCAACGAAAGCUUGUUUAUGUUGGAGUUGAUGAUUCUGAAUUUAAGCCUACCGUUGAGGGCUUGCAGCAGGGCUACUGUGUCAUCCCAAGCGAGGAAAGGUUUCUGGUCCUGUAUGCUUUCCUGAGAAAGAUGCAGCUGAAGCAGAAGGUGAAGGUCAUGGUGUUCUUUUCAUCGUGUAGCUCAGUCAAAUUCCACGCAGAAUUGCUGAAUUUCCUUGGGAUAGAGUCAGAAACGCACCACUACAUUCUUCCGAUUUCCAAGGAGGAAAAGGGCAUCUUGUUAUGCACUAACGUGGCAGCACGUGGGCUUGAUAUUCCUGAUGUGGACUACAUUGUGCAAUUCGAUCCUCCAGAUGACCCAAAGGACUACAUUCACAGAGUCGGUCGUACUGCCCGAGGUGAUAAAGGCAAAGGACGUGCAUUGUUGUUCUUACUACCAGAAGAAAUGAAGUUGCUCAUUUACCUACGGGCUGGAAAACAUGUGCCAAAACUGCAACCUCAACUUGAGAAGAUUGUUGCUGAGAAUUACUUCCUAAAGCAGUCAGCGAAGGAAGCAUACAGGUCCUACCUUUUGGCAUACAACUCACACUCUAUGAAGGACAUUUUUGGUGUCCAUCAACUUGAUCUCAAGAAAGUUGCGGCAUCUUUCUGUUUUAGUAGCCCUCCUAAAGUGAAUCUGAACCUGGAGAGUAGUGCAUCGAAACACCGAAAGAUGAAGAAAGUGGACGGUGGAAAGAGGCAUGGAAUUAGCCCUUCAAACCGAAGGAGAGGCGGCGAUGAUCGAAGGCAGUUUGCAAGAUUCUAG
rnacentral:rRNA from 1 species